CGGACCUUAUACAGUCAUGAAAUGCUGUUGAUCCUAACAGGUGUACCUGUUGUUUGUGUAUAAUUGUAUAGGAAGUAUAUGUAAGGAACAUAUGUAGUCGGUUAGGUCAUAACUAGACUCUAGAGUACUAAGAGUAGCGUCCUUUGUAAUUCUCUUGGUUGAACUCAUUGCUAAAUUGUUAUGUGUCCUUGAUGUCCUGCAUCUUAUUGAGCUAAUGUUACUAUUAUUGUGUGAAGGAAGGAAAGCUCUACCAAAGAACCACUAGCCAUUAGAUUCAGUUAUUAAUGAUUUAGGUAUUGAUAUUAAUCAUUAUGCAUGAUGUUGGUCAAACUCUAUUGAAUUGGGCAUCAGCAUUUGUUACACUUCAAAUGGUUGAAUAUUUGCUGGAGAAUGGUGCUGAUGUUAAUCGUGGCUUAAAGUCAUCAUCUUUACAUUAUGCAGCUUGUUUCUGUCAUCCUAGCA